rnacentral:rRNA from 1 species
GACGAACGCUGGCGGUGUGCUUAACACAUGCAAGUCGAACGGAAAGGCCCUGCUUUUGUGGGGUGCUCGGGUGGCGAUCGGGUGAGUAACACGUGAGUAACCUGAUCUUGUUUUUGGGAUAACUUCACGAAACUGGGGUUACUACCGGACAGGAGCUCCUGCUGCAUGGUGGGGGUUGGAUAGUUUCGGCGGUCGUGGAUGGACUCGCGGAUUAUGAGCUUGUUGGUGGGGUAGUGGCUUACCAAGGCUUUGGCGGGUAGCUGGCCUGAGAGGGUGACCGGCCACAUGGGGACUGAGAGACGGCCCAGACUCCUAUGGGGGGCAGCGGGGGGAAAUAUGGCACAAUGGGCGGAAGCCGGAGGCGGCAACGCCGGGGUCGUAAUGACGGCCUUCGGGUUGAAAACCGCUUCCGCCUGUUACGAAGCGGGUGUGACGGUAAUGGGUAAAGAAGCACCGGCUAACUACGUG